GUGAGGAAUAUUGGUCAAUGGGCGAGAGCCUGAACCAGCCAAGUCGCGUGAGGGAAGAAUGGUCUAUGGCCUGUAAACCUCUUUUGCCAGGGAAGAAUAAAAGGUACGUGUACCUUCUUGCCAGUACCUGACGAAUAAGCAUCGGCUAACUCCGUGCCAGCAGCCGCGGUAAUACGGGGGAUGCGAGCGUUAUCCGGAUUUAUUGGGUUUAAAGGGCGCGUAGGCGGGACGCCAAGUCAGCGGUAAAAGACUGCAGCUAAACUGUAGCACGCCGUUGAAACUGGCGACCUGGAGACGAGACGAGGGAGGCGGAACAAGUGAAGUAGCGGUGAAAUGCUUAGAUAUCACUUGGAACCCCGAUAGCGAAGGCAGCUUCCCAGGCUCGAUCUGACGCUGAUGCGCGAGAGCGUGGGUAGCGAACAGGAUUAGAUACCCGAGUAGUCC
rnacentral:rRNA from 1 species